CCUACGGGCGGCAGCAGUGGGGAAUAUUGCACAAUGGGGGCAACCCUGAUGCAGCGACGCCGCGUGAGUGAAGAAGUAUUUCGGUAUGUAAAGCUCUAUCAGUAGGGAAGAAAUAGCGACCUUUGGGUCGCCAGACGGUACCUGACUAAGAAGCCCCGGCUAACUACGUGCCAGCAGCCGCGGUAAUACGUAGGGGGCAAGCGUUAUCCGGAUUUACUGGGUGUAAAGGGAGCGUAGACGGCAGCGCAAGUCUGAAGUGAAAUGCCGGGGCUUAACCCCGGAACUGCUUUGGAAACGGGGCAGCGAGAGUGCGGGAGAGGUAGGUGGAAUGCGUGGUGGAGCGGUGAAAUGCGGAGAUAUGAGGAAGAAAGCCGAUGGCGAAGGCAGCAUACUGGAGUGUAACUGACGUUGAGGCUCGAAAGCGUGGGGAGCGAACAGGAUUAGAUACCCUAGUAGUC
rnacentral:rRNA from 1 species